ensembl:lncRNA
GGAGCAGGGCAAGGUUUCUGUAGUGCAGCUCAAGCCAAAAACACAUCAGCAUUUACACACACACACACACACACACACACAUAUAUAUAUAUAUAUAUAAUCUUUCUUCAGUUUUUAGUUUAAAUGAUCAAGCUUCAUUUUCUUUCCUGGAGUGGAAGCAAUACAAACAAAUGUCCCUGCUGCCAAUCCAGCUGCUCCUGGGGGAUGUUCCUGCCAUGAAGUGUCCUGGGAUAUCUGAACCACCCUGCUGGUCCUCCUGUGCCCAGGUGCUGUGCUGUUACUGGUCAGAAGAACCUACAGUGAUGUUGAGGAGAAGAACAUGGAAAUUCAGUUUGCAUUUCUCAUGACAAUAAUACGUAUAAAAUGAGUUAAUUUUAAUAUCAACAAUGUAAAUGUCGUGCACACUUUUUAUCCUUUGGGAAGAAUCACCAAACCAAUUUCCCUGUUCUCAGAUUAUUUGCAAUUGAGGGAAUGUUUUUGGAUUCCUGUAGUAGGUCAGACACCUGCCUGCUUGCUGAACAGCAAACUUUUAAAAUAACUACUACCAGCUAAGGAACUUCAAGCUUGCUAGAAACAGGCAAGGGUUAAUUUCUCAUAGGAUCUGGGCAAAUAUUUUUAGCUUAUUAUGGGAAAAAUCUCCUGGAGUCUAUUGUUAUGAAACAGAAACUUUGUAUGUCCUUCAAAAAGAAAACCUCAGGAUAAUUCAGAGCUGGGAGGGUUGUACAGCUGAGUGUGUCUGGAUCUCAGACUCACCAGGGGCCCUCAGUGUCUUCUACUGGGGGGUUUGCCUUCUUCAUUAUAAUUGGAGACAAUUACAUCCCCCUACUCAAUAAUAAGCCAUGUGAAUUUUCAGUGACUUUGCCAUUUAAAUCACAGCUGAACAUCAGAUCACUGCAUUUUCACUGACAGCUUUGGGCUUUUGAGCAUGAAGAUUUUUCUACUGCAGAACUGCAGUUCUGAGAAGAUGAAAUCAUUAAUAAUGCAAUCCCCAGUUAAAGCAGAGAAUUGAUUGUGAGAGGCGUGACUGGAAGAUCCCAGCAAGAUGUAAGUUUAAGGGAAUGUGAAAAAAUUGUUAAUGACCCUUGAUGGGGUUAAAUAGAGAAUGAAACUAUUUUUUUUGACUCCUGCUCACACAAUUGGUAUCAUUUUGAGAACAUGAGGAAGGCACAUCAGUCAGACAUUCCACCUCCAUCUGUGGGCACUGUCUGUUGAGCUUUAGGAAUGGAAACACAAAUAGAUGUGACCAUGGCCGUUCCUGGCUAUUCCAGCAGUCAGCAGGAGCACUGAAGUGUGACAUUCCUUUUGGGAAUUGUCUUAACCCUGGGUUUCUUCACCUGUGAAUGAACUGAGGGCACAGGGGGGAUCCAGUCUCAUCAGAUGUCCUGAAACAGAGGUGUUAAACCCUGGGGAUUCCUGAUUUCUGCAUGGCUGCUGUGUCCUGUGAGCACCUGAGCAGCACCUCAGGGAGUCCCUGCAGUGGGAACAUCUCCCUCCCUCCCUCCCUGCCAGGGGCUGGCUGCAGCCAGAGCCCACCCUGAGCACACACCUCAGGGUCUCACCUUCAGUUCCUCACUGAGCCCACCCAGACCGAUCCAGCUGUGACUCCACAGUGACCACGGCUGUGUUUUUGUAACUCACUUCAUUUACCAGGCACAGAGGGAAACAGUUCUGAAAGGUCCGACUGGCCCAAACAGCUCUUUGGGUGUCUCACAACGCUGGAAAUCAAAUGUUUCCAAUUAAAAUGUUAGAGAUAAAAUGUAAACACUACAAUCUGGUUUAGCUUUACCUGAUUUUUGAGAUCUGAUUUGGCAGAACAAACCAAAAUAACUUUCUAGGCUGGCGUCAAUAUUGUCGAGCUGACUUGCUGUAUACAAAGCAGAAGUUUCUGCCAGUUUUAUGGGGUAAUAAAGAGAGGAUUAUUCCAAGAAAAUAUGCA